UACAGAGGGGGCAAGCGUUAUUCGGAAUUAUUGGGCGUAAAGGGCGCGUAGGCGGCUUGGCAAGUGGAUGGUGAAAUCCCUCGGCUUAACCGAGGAACUGCCGUCCAAACUGCUUUGCUUGAGACCGGGAGAGGUGAGUGGAAUUCCCAGUGUAGCGGUGAAAUGCGUAGAUAUUGGGAGGAACACCAGUGGCGAAGGCGGCUCGCUGGAACGGUACUGACGCUGAGGCGCGAAAGCGUGGGGAGCGAACAGG
rnacentral:rRNA from 1 species